GCCAGGGGUGAGGACCACGGGUUACUUAGCACCAGGGGUGAGGACCACGGGUUACUUAGCACCAGGGGUGAGGACCACGGGUUACUUAGCACCAGGGGUGAGGACCACGGGUUACUUAGCACCAGGGGUGAGGACCACAGGUUACUUAGCACCAGGGGUGAGGACCACGGGUUACUUAGCACCAGGGGUGAGGACCAGGGGUACUUAGCACCAGGGGUUAACCUCCACCUGAAAGGAGCUUUUAACCUGAGCGAGAAGCCGUCCCCACAGGAACCUCACACAAUUGGCUGUAGGGACAAAGGCAGUUGUCACUCCAACUCACACAAAGAACAAAAACAAAGUGUAUGGGUUUCAUACACUUGAAUAGGGAGG
ensembl:lncRNA